rnacentral:rRNA from 1 species
UACGGAGGGUGCAAGCGUUGUUCGGAUUUAUUGGGCGUAAAGCGCGUGUAGGCGGUUUCUUAAGUCUGAUGUGAAAGCCCCGGGCUCAACCCGGGAAGUGCAUUGGAUACUGGGAGACUUGAAUACGGGAGAGGGUAGUGGAAUUCCUAGUGUAGGAGUGAAAUCCGUAGAUAUUAGGAGGAACAACGGUGGCGAAGGCGGCUACCUGGACCGAUAUUGACGCUGAGACGCGAAAGCGUGGGGAGCAAACAGG